rnacentral:rRNA from 1 species
GACGAACGCUGGCGGCGUGCUUAACACAUGCAAGUCGAACGGUGAAGGGACCGGUUUUUGCUGGUUCUGGAUGAGUGGCGAACGGGUGAGUAACACGUGAGUAACCUGCCCCCUUCUUCUGGAUAACCGCAUGAAAGUGUGGCUAAUACGGGAUAUUCUGCGCCUGCUGCAUGGUGGGUGUGGGAAAGAUAUUGUUUCGGUGGGGGAUGUGCUCGCGGCCUAUCAGCUUGUUGGUGGGGUGAUGGCCUACCAAGGCGGUGACGGGUAGCCGGCCUGAGAGGGUGGACGGUCACACUGGGACUGAGACACGGCCCAGACUCCUACGGGAGGCAGCAGUGGGGAAUAUUGCACAAUGGGCGCAAGCCUGAUGCAGCGACGCCGCGUGAGGGAUGGAGGCCUUCGGGUUGUAAACCUCUUUCGCCAGUGAAGCAGGCCUGUCCCUUUUGUGGGUGGGUUGACGGUAGCUGGAGAAGAAGCGCCGGCUAACUACGUG